AUGGAGAACACAGGGAGCAGUCAGG
rnacentral:piRNA from 1 species